GAGCAAGACGUGCUCCUUCCCCCACGCCGCACGUGCACCCCAAAAUGAAAGAUUUCUUUUCCGCUGGAGUGUACGGGGAGGCUGCUGCCCGGGGCCGGAGACGCGCGGGCGGAGGGAAGCCAGGCGCUGGUGGUGAAGAGGCUGACUGAAGGGGAGUCACGUGGGCAGCCCGUGGGCAGCGGCGGCAGCAGCUCAGAAGAAAUUGACUGACUGGCCGCUUGGGCGCAUUUCAAUAUAUGGAAAUGACCAGAGGCUUCUGCAAUAAAUCAGCACUCAACACUU